AGAAAUACAUGUGGUAAGUUCCAAAUCUUUUACGAAAAUCAUUAAAAAUUUUCAUCUUUGAACAUAUUGGGUGUGGAGUAAUUAAGAAAGGAAUUUUGGGGGUCUUUUCUUUAUUUUAUUUGCUUGGGACUAUAUCAGUUUAGGAAUCAGUCUUUGACUGCAAGUAACAAAAACCCAACUAACAUUGGCUUAAACAAGUAAAGGGCUGUUCUUAUCCAUGAAAAGGAAGUGGAAGUAGGUAACUGAGAGUGUUCAUUCAUCUCCUCAAUGAUAGUAUCAGAAAACCAGGCUCUUUCUGCCUUUCCACUCCACUUCUCUAGCCUGUGGGCUUUUGUCCUUCUGUCCAUCUCCUCAGGCAAAUGGUUCCUGCAGCUCCAGCCACCAAAUUAACAUCUAAGGCAGGGUCAGUCACAUCUGUCUUCUUUUUUCAGGAAAGCAAAAGAUUUCCUGCCCCUUCCCAUCAGACAUGCACUCACUUCUAAUUGGGCAAAACUGUGUCACAUGGCCACCCUUAUCUUCAUGGGCCUGGGGAAGCCGAAUACUACUUGACUUAACGGAAUCUAUCAUCCUGAACAAAAUUGGAGUUUGCAAAGAAGGAAAGGGAAUGGAUAUUGGCUGCCACAUUAAUGUCAGGAUGCUCCACAACGGUGACAGGUCAUGAGACUUUUCAGAUUAUUUUGCUGUGAAUUUUUAAAUAUUUCAUGUAAACCAUAGACUGACUGUAAUGUUUAGUACAGUUUUCUCACCCCAUAGGUCCUUUGCCAAAUAAAAUACCGGGAAGGAAAGUCUGAG
rnacentral:lncRNA from 1 species